UUACCAACCAAAUGUCAGAUUUGUCAAAAGUAAUCAAAGCACGUUUAGGUUUAUUGUGUUCAUUUUUCGUAUUUUAAUAUUAAUUAGCGCUUUCUAUUUCUUUUGGAUUUAAUAUAGUUUUAUAAAAUAAAGGCUUCAUCAAUGAUAUUAAGAUGAUGAAGCUGAUAAUCUGAAAGGAGUCGUAAUUUCUAUGGAAUACAAUCACAUAACACAGAAGGCAGAUAUUAGUAUCCACAGUUGAGAAGUAUGUAUAGAAAUGAAGAGAUGUGACGCAUGCCGAAUUCGUACUGAACGGAGGGUGUCGGAGAGCCGCCCCAGGGACACAGGGGACAGAGAUCCUCUCAUUGACUCCCCAAUUGUCUCCCAGGAGGAGCCCUACGAUAAUCGUAACUUAUCGUGCGGCAUCUGCUCGAUGUUCCCGUCGUGCAUGUCGCUGCUGUCGCGGCGGCCCGAGCAGGCGGCGCCGCGGCCCGGCCAGGCGGCCGUCGUGCUCAACGUGUACGACAUGUACUGGACAAACUGGUACACGGCGGGCGCGGGCGUGGGCGUGUUCCACAGCGGGGUGCAGGUGCACGGCGCCGAGUGGGCCUACGGCGGCCACCCCUACGCCUUCACCGGCGUCUUCGAGAUCGCGCCGCGCGACGAGCGCGAGCUCGGCGACCAGUUCCGCUUCAGGCAAAGUGUACAUAUAGGUUAUACAGAUUUCAGCGAAGAGGAAGUGCGGCGGUUAGUGGCGGAACUAGGCAAGCAAUUUCGCGGUGACAGGUACCACCUUAUGAACAACAAUUGCAACCACUUCACGUCCGCGUUUUGUCAGGCGCUGUGUUCGCGCGACAUCCCGGCGUGGGUGAACCGGCUCGCGUACGUCAGUUCGUGCGUGCCCUUCCUGCAGCGCUGUCUGCCCAAGUGAGCCCCUACUACCUAUAUAGUUGGGAGUGGCUGACGCCGGCAGCGCUGCAGCACUCGCUGGCCGCGCACUCGCGCUCCUCCUCACCGCAGACCCCCACCACGCCGCAAUAGCAACACGACGUGCUGCGUUUGUGCAGAUAGAGAAAACGAAGUGUUGUGCGAACUAUACCUAGAUCUAGUAAGCUAAGUUCGUUUGGCGCAUUGUCGAUAUAUUAUAUGUAUAUUUCACUUUAUUACGAUUACUAUUAACGAUUAUUGAACGUUGUAUACCUUUAACGAUUUUUCGGUAUUCCUUUUAUUCAUAAAGUAAUGCGUACCUCUUAAAAGAAAUACAUUAAAGUCACGUAACCUCUCUCUCUCAUUUGUAUCAGUCCCCAUUGAAAUGUUUUCUAAUCAUUUAGAUUAAUAUUUGUAUUCAUUAACUAAAUUAACUAUGUAAUUUUAAAUAAUAAAUUGUAUGGUUAACAUGAGAGUGUAAACGAAUACGCGUUGGUUUUCCAAUUAUUUCUUUUAAACUUGAGGUCUAAUUUAACUUUUAUAAUAAUUACAAAAAAAAAGGAAUGUUCUAUGCCAAGAAUGUAUCUAAGGAAUAGAUGCAUGCAUUUCUGUUCUUUCUUUCAGCGAACUCUUAUUUUAAUUCGAGCAUUGGAUAAACGAGAGAGAGAGAGAGAGAGAUAGUGUAAGUUUAUUAAGAAAAAAAACACUGUCUUCUUAUUUUUAUGUCAUUAUUUCUGUUAUUCAGUGAGGCCGUUUUUGAGAUGCUAUUUCUCUUAAACUUAACAGCUUAACUUUAUAUUUUAAUUUGAUAGUUUCGGGAAAUUACUAUUUUAUGAACGGUCAUAAACUAAAAUUGCAAUAAUUUGGACCUUAAUCUAUUUAAAAAAUUGGUUUACAUCGUUUCUUACAAUAAAGAUUUCAUUGUGAUAUCAAAUUAUAAUUUAAGAAGAUAGGUUUAAACCUUUAAAGAAAUGGCCCCUCAGAAUCGUCCCCAAUAUCAGUAAAAAAGUGACAUAGAUUUAACAUUUAAAUGAAGUAAUGAAAUAAUAAAAUAUGGUCUUGUGUUAGUAUUGAAAAAAAAAACAGUGAAUAAACAUAAAAAAAAAGAAUAAAAAGUUUUAUUAUUUUAAACGUGGGCGGUUGGUAGCAUUGGCGUAUUUAAGAUUAUACCAAGAAGCUUGGGGUUUCUUAAAAGACGUAUAUGCACUCUCCGAUAUGUCUUUACGAAGGUUCAAUCACAUCCUGGCGUGGGUACGGCCCACCCAAUCCCCAAACGUAAAUACGCCUAGAAAAAAAUUCGUGUUACAUCUCCAAACAUAAUUUAUUUGUUACUGUUCUUAACAUGUUUUUAUGGACCUUGAAACGUGACAAAAAUGUAUGUGUAUAAUUGUAAUAUAACUCUUAAUACGUAGUUAUAGUGCUCCGUCCGUUGAGAUUCUCUUGUUAAAUAUUACUGUUAGGGUAGUCCAAAGUUGUAAGUGCGAAUAAAAAUGUAGUACAAAUGGUGUCACUAAAUUGAAAAUGUUACUUUAUCCAAUAUACGUUUGAAUACAGUGAUUACAUAGUUGGUAAAAAAAAAAAACAAAAUAGUCACGCCCAUUCGACAAGGAUAAACCAAAAUUGUAAGCACCUUAUAACGAAGUUUUUUUCAAACUGUAACAUUUUCUCGAAGAAAUGUGUUAUAAAGUUUAAAAAAUAAAGCCUUCUGUAUUCAAAAACAUUAAAGACUACAAAUAAUAAUCGAUCUUUUAGAAUUUUAAGUAAAAUUUGUAGUACUAUAGAUAUAGCCUUAUUGUUCUAUAUCUUGUUUAAAUUUAAAAAUGUAGUUAACAUUUAUUGUAUAGAAGAUUCAUAAAAAUAAUUUUCCUUUCAGCUUGUUAAAAAACUAAUGUCGCGUACAAAAAAAAAAUUAAUAUAAUUCAGUAAAUUAUAAAGAAAAUCAGUUCAAUAAAUAAAAAAGAAAAUAGAAUAAAAUUGUUAUACAUGUUUAUAUUCUCCAUACAUAAAUAACACUUAUAAAUAAUGCAAAUGCGCAGCCAUUUGAUAACUAUGUUAUUGCAUGUAAUAUACAAUUUGGACUAUAAUACAAUAUGUUACUGGACUUCUUUACACAUGUGUCCUAAGGUUAAUGUCAAAGUGCCAUCAUCGGUGUAAUUAUAAAUUAGUUAUAUUAAAUUUAUGAAUGUAUAGAAAUAAUUGUUAUUCAUACUUACUACUUGUUUGUCAAAAUUAGGAUUUGAAUAUUAGUAGAAUUAAGCGAUAGUUUAAAACUACGAACCUCGGACUUUGUUUAGUUAGAUUUUGUCUAAUUUGUGAUGAAAUAUAAUUUUUUUAUACUUGGCACAUUUUUUAAACAAGAUGCCAAAACGGCAUAUUUUAGUGUAAUUUAUGAAAUUGGUCAUUUUAAACAUUACCGCCGAAAUCAUUAGACAAUCAAUACAAAAAUAUAACAAUUAAUUUAUCAUUGAUAUUAAAAAAAAAAAAAAAAACUAUUCUCAUAUUGUUUACUCAAUACUAAGCUAAGUAUAAAAAAAAAAUAGAUUGUUUUCAUUAUUGUACAUAGAGUGAUAUUUAACUUUCUCUCGUUAACAGCAUCAUUUUAAAUCAUUCACAAUUAUCAUGUAUUACGAAUAAUUUUCCUUUAAUUAAUAACAAUAGUACAUUGUAAUAAAGUCGUAUUUAACUUGACAAUGCGCCAAUAAAUUUAUCAACCACACGGGGGCGUAAAUGUGGUUUUUUCUAAUGUACCUAUAUGUAGUUCUCUUUUGUGUGAUUUUUUGUGAGUCCAUUUUUUGAUAAACUAUAAACAAUGUUCGUAUGUUGUUAUAGACUCUAUGUGGUUGUAAUAUAACUUCAUUUUAAAUGUCGAUUACCCACAAUGAUGUGCCACUCUUCGCCUCAGUGUUUCGAGUUUUUUUUUUUUAAUUAUAACAAUGUACCCAUCUCUAUUUAGUCGUUUGCUGCGGUUCAACAAGUGAAUUAUGCACUUCACAAUAACACAAAACAAAAAAUAUUUACAGAAAAAUUUUUACCUUUUUUUCUUGCUGGACCUCAGCCUAAAAUAAUAGGAUGUGUAAUCAUAAAAGUAAAUUUAAUUUAAACCUUGAAAUAUAGUUAGACAUGAUUCUUUUGGAUGUGAACAAUUGAAACUAUUUGUGUGCCUUUACCACUUCCGAGCAAAGUUGGGUAUUCAUCGUUAAUUAAUCAUAAUUAUAUAAGGAUAUCUCAGUAAUUCUCUCAAAUAAAAAAAAAAACGGAGUCUUUUUUUGAUUACUUGUCGAGAAUAUAGUUAAAAAUCUUACCUUACUAAUUUUUUUCUCACAGCCAUGUUAUGUUUAGGUUAAACAUAUGUUAAGGUUGGUCAAAAUACUACUUGUUUAGUAUUUGAAUUUAUUCACUGUGAACAGUAAAAUGUUAACAUAAGUUUGUUACCUGGACUGAACCAUUUAGAGAACUACAGCGGUUUUCCUUUAGGUCGUGUUAAAUAAAAUAGGGUAGUUUCAGAAAAAAAAAAAAAAAAUAAGAAUUUUUCGAAAUGUAAUUUAGUUUUGGAAACAAAAAAUCAACGUAUUUCAAGGUUUUUUUUUUAUUUCUCUAUGUAUCAAAUUGUUGGUUAUCUUAGAAAUUUAGGAUCUAUAAAUACUAAAUAAUAUCUAAAAUAGACAUACAAUAAAAUAAGCCAACAUAGCAUACAUAUAACUCAUAUAAGAGAAGUUGAAAAAUUAUAAACCGUUAUACUUAAAUGCUCCUCUUUUUACAUUUCACAUAAUCAUAUUUUAUAAUACAGGUUAGACAGGAAUUAUACUAAGCAGAGGAAGAUUGAAACACAUGCAAUAAUAGCAAUAAAAUACAAAUACAUAUUAAAAUAAAAUUAAUAUUUUAAACAACAGAUAAUGAGAAAAAAUUUACAAAAGUAAUUGGACUAAGGAAGUAAAAUUAAAAAAAAAUCCAAUUUGAAGCGUUUGUGAAACAUAUUCAAAUUUUUUUUUACUCCAUUAUAUAUUAUUAUUAACUAUAUUCGACGGAUUCACGAUUUCAUGAAUUUUAUCAUCCUAUGUUUAAACGAUAUUAUAUUUGUUGUUACUUGAAUAACUACUUAAAACAGCAUUUUUCCUUUUUUAAGUACUUAUUGAGGGACGAGCGUUGUAAUAAUUUCCUCCUUUCUAUAUUGUGUAUGAAAAUAUUCUCAAAAUAUUUUAGGUCACAAUAAACAAGUAUUAUAAUUAUGAAUUCAUAUUUCAUAGUUUUAUAAUCGACUAGGUAAUCUUGUACUUUCAAAAUAUGAACAUUAAAAUAAACCAAAGAGCUGUCUCUUAAUUAAAGUGUAUACUUUUUAAGCCUUAAAAUUUCAGUUUUCAAUUACUAUUUUAUAUAUUUUCUUAUAUUGUUCUAUCAAGACAUGACAAUAACUAUUAAAAACUAUCUGAACUAUAUGUACUUUAAACCAUGCAUAUUUUCUGUAGCUUUAUUUUUUUUAGUAUUAGUAUUAAUUUUAAGUUUUGCUACAUAAACGCCCAAAAGCUGGUCCUAUUCUUGGUUUCCAGAUAAAACUCCUGAGCGUAAACUACAUGUGCUCGGGGUGUUAUAAUAAAAUAAAUGUAGUUAUUGCUCUAUAAUGAGUUUGUUUGCGCAAAUGGGAUACUUUCCCGAUAAACACAAAAUUUCCGUUUGUAAAUCGUGUACUUGCACGUGUUUCGUAGCAUGCAAUUUUAGAUAUUUUAUUGUAAUCGAACUUUAUCUCUCUUCAUACCAAAUUUGAGAAAUGAAAUAAAGAAAAUUAAUGGUCGUCAGCACAGAUCAUUAAUAUUGUAACCUCUUUUUCGUAUGGAUUUGUUAUUUACCAAAGUCGAACUUAAAAUUUUAUUAUAGGUUUACCUGCUUUUAAUGUUUGCAUUUAUUUUAUAACUGGUUUUGUGUGAGAGUGCGUAGAUCAGCUAGUAUUAAGUGUACGAUAUUUUGCAUUACAACUUUGAUAAUUUACAAAAAAAAAAAUUACAUUAUAAUUUACUUGAUAUUUAUUAGCCUGCGCAGUUUAUUGUACUCAUUAAGAAUAUUUUCGAAUAUAAUUUGUAAUUUCAAAUGAAAUUACAAAUUUCGUAAUGCAUUAAUCAUAUUAAAGUACUUUUAUAUUCGGAUGUAGUUGGAUUUCAAUUGUUUGUGUAAUUUUGAGUACCUAUCGUAUAAAUCUCUAUUUUUAUUGUAAUUAAUGACCCUGUACAUAUUUGUAGUCGACAAUUUGUAUUAAUUAGUAUUGAGCGUUUUACUGUUAGUUUUUAUACCUAAUUUGGUCAUUUCGUCGUACAUGUGUGCAGGGUCCUUUUAAGAAGUGUGGUAUCGAACUAAUUUAGAGAUAUGAUAAACUAUAUAACACUGUUAUAUAUACAAGUAAUUCAACUGGUCCCGUGUGAUGAGUUAAACCAUUAUAUAGACCGUUCGCUCAUCGGAUGGGGAUAUAAAAUUUUCAAAAAUGUUGUCAAAUGAAAAUAUUGGCAAUAGAUAAUUUUUGAAUGAAUAAACUGGGUAAAAAGUUUGCAA